AAAGGGGUGAGGGGUGGGGGUUGGGGAGAGAAAGAGGGGAUGGAAGGAAGAUAGAGCAGCACCACAUGGCCUGCAAGCAUUCAUGUACUUGUGCAAGGAUCCACAAGUAGCAGGGGAUCUCAUAACUGGGGAAUAGAGUCGUGUAGUGGUAAAUCUGCCCAAUCUAGGCUUGUAGCUUAUAAAUACUGUAACUGAGUUGUGUGUUUUUGCACGGGUUUAUUGGGGUUGGAGAUUUACUGCAACAAUACAGCCUAUGUAUAGUACAUAAUGCAUACUAUAUAGAGGUAUAUUAACUGAACACACAGAGUGACAACCCCAUGAAACUGAAGGGGGAAAAGGCAGCUAUAACUUAAAGAAUCCAGGUCAGGCCUAAUGAGAAGAAGCAGGGAGGCCUUCCCUCUCCUAUUAGCCCGCUCAGCUCGCUAGCUUUCCCUGAGAACCUGUCACCAUAAGCACACUUUGUUCAAAAGGGUGGGGAAGGAAUUAGGAAAUAGAAAUAGGGAAAUAAGAAAUAACCCAUCAGGCAGUUUCUCCCUUGCUCUGAAAUCAGUUUCCCCAGAGGCACCUGCAGGCCAGAAAUACUUCAUUCUCUGCAGGAGAAAAAGGGUUAAGUAGAAACAGCACCCCUGUGCACAGCAGGGUGGCGGGGCAGCAGGGCAGCCUGGGCUCACACCUGUCCUCUGUCACUCCCCCUCCCCCCCAAAGCCUCCAUUCAUAGCUCCAAGUCAUUUUCUCCUUUUUUUUUUUUUUUCCUCUCCCUUUCAAUUCCCAGGCUGGGAAUGCCCUGCGAUGUCUGUCCUAUUUCUGGGCAGAUAAAAGGUAGAGCUACAGAAACUGCUGGAUUUUUCUCUAACAUUUCUGAAUGUUUCAAGUCAGAACCUGAACCAUGAAAGAAAAGAAAAACCUUUGAAAACAGCAUCAGUCACUUCUCGCAAUCACAAAUAAAUAGUGGCUCGCCCCACUCUCCUUUUUUCUCUUCUAUGUAAAAGAAUGAAGUAUGUGAAAAAGAAAAAAAACUGUUAAAAAUUAUAUUUCAGUGGAUUUUUACUGCUGCUCGCUGUUUGGGUGUACUACCAAAUACUGAUGACUUCAAAGCUGCCUGCAAAAGACUUGAGGGCUUAAAAGUUUGCCAGUCCCCUACCAGCAUUCUUCAUUCUUCUUUGAUAAAAGUAUAAAAAGUAAACAUCCACCCAUCCAUUCCACACGCAUCCCUGGGUGACACCUAUGUCUGCUGUCAUCAUAUAGGAAAGUUAUCCAGGUUCGUGGAAUCACUCUGGUGAUUGUAUGGGGAUCAGACUCUUUAGAAAAAUAAAAAAAAAACAAAAAACACAUAAGUAGGUUGCCUUUAAACAUCUCUAAAAUUAUGAUUUCUAACUCAGCGUAAUUUGGCGACAGAAGAGUGCAUGGAUUGUUGAAUUGUUUCUAUCUAUUCUUGAUUCCAGUAGCAGCAGAAAUAAAAGCCUUCUCUCAGAGCCUCGGGAGACACUCUCCUUUCUAUUCUGUUCCAUUCAACCUCUUCCAUUUCUACAUGAACACCAGUGGGUAAUCAAGCCAAUCUGUCCCAUGUGACCACUGGAGCCUUCUCUGCCGGGACUUGUACACACAUUUCUACAAGUGUCUUCUGUGAGAAACAUGUGAAGCAGCUCUUGUUCGGUUGUUCUUCCAGCUUCUGGGAAAGGGGUAUGGGGGAGAACAGGAACAAAGGAAUGUAAAAACCUCUCCCCGGCUUCCAGAGGUUUCCAUUCCUUCUUUCCAUGUGGCCUUACGUCCUUCGUGACACCAGGGCCAUGUGCAGGGGCUACAUAUGGCAACAUGGGCCUCAUAAACUAGGAAAGACUCUCAAACGCUGCUGUGUAUUUUUACUGAGGCGCCUUCUCAUUCCCUCUGUCUGUCCUCCAGACGGCUUCUGCACCUCCACUAGGAUCUCAUACACAUGAGUCUCUAACAUGAGGCUCUACCAACCUGGCCCAGGUGUCGCUCACCCCUGUCAGUGACUAGGGACCUCCACCACCACGUUAGGAAUCCAAUUUAUUUAGCAUUUAGGUUCAUUUAGCAUUCAACCUAGAAUAACCUAUGAUCACUUUUCUUCUAUUUGAAUCCAUAUACUUAUUUGUAUCUUUAAGACCUACCAAUAUGGUAGCUCUUUCCUUGAAGUUUUAAAGAUUCCAUAAGAUUCCCUCCUUUACACAUAGCAAACACUCUCUUCAAAGUUACCAUUUCCAUUUUCAUAGAAUUCUCCUCUGGCGAGAGGAAAAGUUAUUACUGUAUAUUUUUUUUCAAAUGUCUCUACAAAACUCUGAAGAAAUAGGCAUGCCCAUGAGUCCUCUGAAACUCGUAACGGAAUAAAUGAUCAGGACCUCAGAUGAGGUUGCCCCAGACAGGCUCCCUCAUGAACCACUUAAAUUGGGGAUAGAUGGUCUGGCCGAAGAGUCCCGGCCCUUUUUGCUUUUUGUGUGUUGGCCUGAAGUGGCAUAUUUGACUGUAUGGUCAGUAUUAGUGAGAAGAAAGCAGAAAUAAAAGUCACUACAAAACGUGCAUGCUCCACUGCAAACAGGAGGCAACUUAGGUGACGAUGGGUCAUUUCCAGUGUCAAAUAAUGAGUCUGUUAGUGAGUCCCUGGGCUGCAAGGGUAUCUGAGCUGUGGGGCACUCCUAGCUUGUUGGGAGGCCCUGGGUUUGAUCUCCAGAAGCACAAAGGAUUUAAAGGAAGAUAUGAUCUGAGUUAAUUUAGAAAGAAGGGGGGAAAGCAAACAAAUUACUAAUAAUUUCUGUGCUUGGGGUGCUAAAAAAACACAAAUCAUUCCACUCCUCCGCUGUUCCACCACGCCUAAGGAGUCCUGUCCUUUCUAUGACAGACAAUUUGCUGUCAUAGAAAUCCUCCUCUCGACAAUCUACACAGAAAUUCGUGGGGACCCAUCUCACGAUUACAUCUGUAGGCAGAACACUGGAACACUGCUCAAAAGCACAAAGUGUGAAUUUGCAGAUAUACAAAAUAACCAAGUGGAUGCCACAAUGAUACCUUUAUUUUAUUGGGAACAGCUUAUUUUGUGUGUUUGUAAGCAACAACUGAUUCUCUCCCAAUUGUAUGCAAGACAAAGUGCUUGGACUUUUAAACUAAACAAUGACGAUAUUAUAAGAAUCAUGGUUGGGUCAUGCAGCUUUUUUUUUUAAAAACCUAUUCACAUAUUUCACACAUCAGUGUCCUUUAUAAAGCAGUACAGAGCCAAGCAUCACUCAAGAGUCAGGCAGAACUACUGGGACACUAGAAAACUUCUCCUGAGCUGGUAUUUCAGUCUCCCCUGUGUGGUAAAAUCCAAGCGGCUGCCCUGCACUAAUACGACCCACACCUGCCUUUUCUGGAUGCAAGCACAAACACACUGCUCAAUGUGGGGGGUUAACAGCGCUGCAGUUUGCAGCGGCAAAGAGUAUAUGGCAGUCAUCAAGUUGCAAACCUCAGGUUACUGUCAGAAGUCUGUUCACGGGGAUAACUGCUCUAUGCUAAAACAGAUGGUGAAUGCUGGUUAAGAGAAGCGAGCCCUCUAUGAGAAACGUAAAUCAACCGUACAGAAAGUAACAGUGUUUCCAAAAGUGGGCAAAGCUGAAAGUCAGAUGGUAAGACAUCUGGGCAAUGAGGCUUUGAUCUCUGGUCAGAGAAGCUGUAUCACGUGGGUUGCUCCAAUCCUUAUGCUGGGCAAGCAGUUUGUAAGCACUUGUAAAGGGGCAGAAGUUGCCGCUGCCGCUGAGAGGUUGCAAAUUGUUUGCAUUUGGGCAGGGAAGCCACUCUCACGACUCAUUCGGGAAUUCCUACAGACCAGGUGAAAGCCCCUUCAUGGCCCCCUCGCCUUGUGCUGCUUUUCAUAGCACAGGAGCUACUGAAUACUGGCUUACCGCCAAGUGGCUUUAAGGUGAGAUUUGACAAAAAUUACCAAGUACACACAUCUGCCCUCACCUCAUUAUCUUUCUACAGCUACUUCCCAGGCAGCUGUUCAAGAACUACAUGUGUCCAUUUACUGGAUUGAAACAAACAGCAGAGGCAUAAGGAGAGCCACACAAAGCAUAUGCUUUCCAAAACAGUGGGAGCUUCGCUUCUGGGGAUACUGACAGGGCAUCAGCUGCUGCUGCUGCUCUGAAGGCAGGAGACCCCUCCCCAGCCCCCAACCUCCCACACCCCGGCUUACCUGUUUCUUUGUGCUGAACCUCUGCCAGGUGUAAGUCAUUCAAAAGGUGCUCCAAGAUCUUCUCCGGGGUCCCAGACACCACCACAUAUCUGUCAGAGAGCAGAGAGUCCACUGAGUCAUCCUCCGUGGAGGACUGUGAGCGGCUGCUCCAUUCAUCGUCCUCAUCUUCUUCGUCGAUGUAUUUGAAAUAAGGCACAUCGAAGACUAGAAAGGUGCCAAGGCCAGCAAAUCGCUCACAGAAAGUAAGACUGUCACCUCAACUCCUAAUUUCUAAGAAAAUGGAAAUCCUCUUGGAUUUGUCUUUAAAACAAACAGAUAAUUGGUUAUCCUGGAAAAAAACAGCCAUAUACUUGCAGUGUGUACAUCUUCAGGGAAGGCCUCACCCCCCCAACACACACUUUAGUCCCAGAUCUGCAGAGACCAGCUCUCAUUCCCACUUCAGGGGUGGCCCGAGAAGCUCUAGCAAGCGGCCAAGAGGACUCCUCACAGUUCUGCCCAUGGGCACAUUACUGGAGACAGAAGAGGAAGCAGAACAAAAGCAAGUAGUACGUAGUCCUCGGCUGACAGUGGGGUAGGUAAUAGGGGAAUUGGACUAUGAGGCUUAUGACUUUCGGCAAAGAGCCUUCUGGAGGGAGAAACCAGGGGAGGGAUCAAGUCCCCGAUUCCUUGUGCCUGACCCAGUCUCUGGAUGAACAAUGCUGAUGAUUUUACUCAGUUCCUCUCUACUGCUAUCCUGAAUUUGAAUUCUGGAUGUACAAUGGAACGACCACCCUCAAAUGACCUAGAUUAACUUCCACCACCAUUCUUCUUGUGCUUCUAUAUCAAACUUGUAUCCCCCAUUUAUUUACAUGGACAUACAAAUACAUGUACAUUAAAUACAUGUAUUUGUAUUUUCAGAAUGAAAAUACAGAGUUGUAAAUAUACGUUUUUUUUUUAAAGGCAAAGGAGGCCUUAAUUUUAUUCGAGCCAAGUUUCUAGUUAUAUCUGCAUUUUCAUAUGUCACAGUACGGCCAAGAAAAGGUGGUGAUAAAUGUGUUUCUUAGCCCGCUGGAAGGGUCAUGGCCCUUAGCGUGAUUGUUUCCACUAUUCCCAAUUCCUGCCCCAAGUAGCCCUGGCUUCUCCCAGCACAGCACAUCUAUGGUGCUCUGUGAGUGAAUGCUUUGUAAGAACCCUUACCUGGGGGCUCAGAUGUGGGCUUUGAGAGCCAAGAACCUUCUGACUGUGUACGGAGAUAAAGGCACAAAACAUCUUACAUGCAGAAAUUCAGAUUUAUCGUCUCAUCUAAGGAGGCUUGACUUCUUUGAAAGUUCUCCUGACAUUAACUCCCUCAAUUCAGAUGAGAUGUCCAAAAACAUCCAAUUCCAACAACCAUCAUCUGACUGUAUGACCUCUGGUUACCUACUUUCUGUUUCUUCUUCACUAAAUGAUGACAUUCCAAGGACAGGGACUGUGCCUUCUGUCCUUUCUCUAAAGAAUGGGUCAGGGCCAGGCACAUGAUAUUCACUUGAUAAGGAUGUACUGAGCAUGCAAAUCCAUGAGCAAGCAAAAGAGGAGGGACCCGGGCUCCCUCAUAGCUCAAGGUCACUUUACUGUGAGGCUCUCACACUCCCAUGCACUGGCCACUCAGACCUCUCCUCCGGCACUGAGCAUGACAGAACAUGUCUGAACUGAAGUGUCCGAGCUGCCCACUCCACAUGUGCUGGGGUCCUAACAAACGAAGCUCCUAGGCAACUAGUGCUUGGGAGGUUACGUAUCACAGCAUCAGUAAGGCAAGCAUUAAAUGGUGUUGUCCCUCAGGUCUAUGUCAUGCGAACAACCAAAAACGCAGGUGGCCACAGUCAUGUCAAAUGGAGGACUCUGUUAUGAACCCUUUGCAUUCCUAAUCUCCUUUUUAUACUUCAUUCUCCCCUGACUAGAUUUCCCCUCUCAUGGCCUACUGCUCAAAAAUCAUACCUGGUGUGGGACAGUCUGAGAGAACCUUUCAGAUGGGAACUUUAACAGUCCCCUAGGUUGACAGCAUUGGCACCAGGAAGUCAUAGGAUGAGCACGGGUCUCAGAGCUGCUUCCCUUCGAGCCCCUGAUACAACAAUCACGGUACUAACUUACAAGCACAUUGUUUACAGCUAACAGCUUGCUGUGCAUCCUUCCAUCACACAGCCCCAGCCUGACUCAUCUCUCCUCCAGAGAGCCAGGGCGUCAAGCCACACUCACUCAGUGAACAGUUACCGAAUAUGCUAAUCAAUAAAAGGGAUGAAUGGACAAAUGUGGAUUUUAAAGUGAAACAUGGCAGGAUACAUUUCCCAGGAGGCUUUCCCCUUAAGGAGUAGGUGGGGCACCAGGCUACGUGGUGGUGGAUAACAGAGCCACUGUACUAUCCUACCAUUAGCUGAGAUGAGGCACUCAGAGAGACUGGCUAACCCGAGGAUCAUGACCAACAGGAGCUAUUUACCAGCUCGGAGUGAUCCACACUCUCACUUGAGAAACUCCUAUGGAAACCGGUGACAGACAGCCCUGGACUCAGUCACUUUUCUAGGUAAUUUACGAUAGCCUUUUGAUGUGCAUGAAACAUCAUGCAGUCACUAAAUCACAAGAAGCUAAUGCAAUUUGCUUACACAGCAGUAGAGGCAACCAGGACUAAUGAGAUGAUGUUGCCGGAACUAGACCCAGGAGGAAUGGGACAACAGGGAAGAAUCAGCCGUGGUGGACAGAUCGUUUGUCGGCGAGGGCCUACCGUCUAACUGGCAAAGCCAGAGGCUGAGUGUCCAUCAUCUCACACAACCAUUUGAGUUGUCCUAUAAAGUGAACACUUCGAAAAGCCACAGUUUAUGCUGAAAUGAGGCACUCAGAGAGACCUCAGUUUAUACAGGAAGAGGCCGAUCGGGCUGGAACACAAAGCAGGAAGAUGAUGAAGAUAUUAUACACAGAUGGGCUCCAUGUAUUCUAGUGCCUUUGGUCAAGCCAUCGAUAACUCUGAGACGGUUGGUGCUCUAUUCUGAGAUACCGCAGGAGCUUGGCUUACCUAAGGGCCAAAGCAGGUGAGUCUCCUUGGUCAGUCAGGUGACAGGCGAGUCUUCUCACCUUAGGAAGUUCGAAACUGCCUAGGCAGUUAAGUGUUUGCCUUUGAGUGGCCUGCUGGUUUGGGAAAACCACCUUAAGGAUUACAGUUCAAGAGAACACAGGGUUGACAAGUGCUUAAAGUGUGGUGGUGUGAGUUCAGAAUUUGGCCUACUGCUGUCAGGCAAAGCUCAAGCCAUAGCACGGGGAGACAAGUGUCUGUUGGGAUGGAGGCAGGGGCCCAAAUGAAAGAGCCUUACACUCAGCAAAGACUGGAUUGGACUCAAGUCUGACAGAGGCAGAGAGAGGAUACACAAACUGCCUUGCCCCCAGAGGUCCAAGAACCGGGCAGGCAUUGUACAGUUUCAAAUGGUUAAUUUUGUUUUGUAAACUUUGCCUUAAAAGAAAAAAAAAAAAGGUUAGUGUUGCUGCUCAGUGGUCUAGCAUGCACAAGGUCGUGCGUUCAAUCCCCUCCCCUGGACUGUGCAAAACAGUAAACAAAAGCAACAGCAGUGCAACAGUGCAUCCCUGAGCCUGUGGACACAGUGUUCUGACUCGUCUGAGGUGGAGAGACGAGUCUGAACUCCCAGGAUGUCCAAGACGGAUCAGAGUAGGAAAACAAGUGACAGUGUGUUGUUUCCACUCGGAGCUUCUGAGCCCUGUGAGAGACAGAGUGCUGGCUUACCAACGACAGGCUUCAGGUAAUUUUCCACCCGUGGGUGGCAAGAUAAAAAGAGGCCGAGGUGGCUCAGUGUCACGGUGUACAAACAGAAGCAGCAAGACAGCUCUCAAGCUGAGUUUGAUCCUGUGAGCAAGACUGAAGAACCCUGGAGACAUCUGGAUGGAGAAGAGGCAGUUUGCCCAGCGCUGCUCUCUCAACUAGCAUGGAGUCAACUAGCAGGCAGACUUCUCUCCCAUCUCAUCCUGGAAGUCUGCACAUAGCUUAGCAAACCGCCAGGGCCCGCAUCUGUCUUGGUACUGUAAAUAUGGGCGCCAGACAACUACAGAUCUUAGCGGGUUGGGUUAAACAAAACAGAAGCCUCCUCAGACUAAGGAGAGCUUCACCUGAACCAAACUCCACUGAUUUUGCUGACAACUUAUCUCAUAAUUCAUUUUUUUUCCACUCAUGGAAAUCAGAUUUUAGAAAGGAGAUGAAGAGAAAAUGCUGCUGAAAGACAGCAGUCAUCAAAACAAAGAUUAAGUGGUGGGACUGUCAUAGUGCCGGCCUCUAAGUAGAGCCUGGGCUUAUCCCGGCGCCAUACAGGGGUGUGGGGUUGAGAGAAAGAGAGAGAGACAGAGAGGAAGAAAGAGAGACACAGAGAGAGGAAGAGAGAGACAAAAAGAGGAAGAGAGAGGGGGAGAGAGAGAAGGGGAGAAAGAGGAAGAGAAACAAAGAAAGACAGAGAGGGAGAAACACAGAGACACAGAGAAAGACACAGAGAAAGGAAGAGGGGAAGAGAGGAAGAGAGAAAAGAGAGACACAAAAACAGAGACAGAGGAAGAGGAAGAGAGAAGGGGAAAGGAAGAGGAAGAGAGAUAUACACAGAGGCAGGAAGAGUGAGAGGAAAAGAGGAAGAGAGGAAGAGAGAGAGGGGGAAAGAGAACUAGAAAGAAGGGGCAGAAAAGGAGAGAGAAAGGCUGAGAAAGAAAGUGCAGACUUGUCCAGGUGAGCUGUUAGGAGAACCAGGACUCAAACCAAAACAAACCCCAAGGAAAUCAUCUUUGCCCAGUUUGCUCUAGCACGAGAGUGAUCGAACAGUGUUAAUUAGCUCGUUGUUUUUACAUCACACUAUUAAAUUAAUAACUCAGGCUAAAGCCUAAUGGGCUAACUGACUUCAUCAUCCCCAAACUCAUGGACCCUGGGAAAUGUGACUUUCAUAGGUGUUUGUACUAUGGAACUAAACUGAACAGAAAGCCUGUAAAUAUAACAGGAGAGACAGCUGGCAACUGCUCAGGAAGAACUGCUGUAAGUCUUGUUACCUCUUAGAGUCUUCCUAUGACACAAGGUAUCUAAGAAGCCUAAAACGAUCUGGUUAGAUGGGAAUGGGGCUGGGGGGAGGGAGGGGGUGAUAAUCCGUAACAUCUUGAAGUACAAGGUUUCUGUCUUUUCAUCAUGAGAGUGUUUCAAUAGGCUGCAUCAGCUUGAUAGAGCAUCUUGGAUACUGCUGAGAAGGAAGUAGUAUAGUAAACAAACAAACAAACAAAAAACCAAAACGCCAGUAGGUUUGAGAGCGUUAGUGAAGGAACUGUUUACAGAAGUGUGUGCAGAUUUGAGGAAACCAUAUAAAAAUAAUGCCACGAUCACAGGAUCGCAAAAAGAAUUAACUGCCUCAGCUGAAAGGGCUAUAUAACUAUACGAAUGCUAGAUCACACUGGAGCCAGAGAUAUAAAUGAGCCAGCCUUGGAGGGGGCUGAACAGGACUGGCUGCAGCCUCUGCGCUCUGUAUCUUCCUGCUCCAUGCUUCCCACGGUCCUGGUUCCAUUCAGAGCAAGAGAACGCUCGUGUCCAGGUUCAAAGGGACCAGGACUCACUACUUAUACCCAGGGAACGUGCAGUGGAGGGGGUGUGAGUGGAGACCAAACAACUGCAUGUGCCCCACCUCAGAGUCUCCAGAGAUGAUGUUAAUUUAUCAACUCCCGGUGUGCCAUAAGGGUCACGGUGUCCAUUCCUACUGUCAAGAAAACCAGUGGAAGACCAGGAGUCUCUGGGGCAGGUAUGCUAACGUUUCCAAUUCCUACACACCUGUCUUAAUUCUUGUCUAACACCGACAUUAAUUACCACAUUCAGCUCCUACAGUUUGCUUCACGAGCCACUCCCAUGUGGCAUCUGAUGAGUGCUACUCAAUCACAUAGGUGUUAUUGUUUUUUGUUUUUUAUCAGAGACCGCUUAAAUGUUGUCAAGUACUUUCCAGCAGGCUCUCUUGCCUCAAUAUAGAAGUUCUUGGUUGAUGGCCAGAUUUGGGAAUCGGGAUGGAAGGUAGAAUAGGGCAGCAAUGAUGGAGUUGGUUCUGUGCAGAGAGCUGCACAGAAUGAGGUGUGCUUAGUUUUCUAUGUCAUCUGUCAGCCAGAGUUGAGUGGAGGGGGUGAUACUACACAUUCACAAGAUGAAGGACGGAGAGCUAGACAAGACCACGAUCAGAGGGUUAGUCCCAGAGAAACUAAAUCCAGAGAAGGUCAGGUCAGAAGCCCAUAGAACGGAAGCUGUUCUCCACCUGUGGCUAGGAACUAAGGCUGACUAGUCAAACCCACCAGAGUCCAAGUGACAGGAAAGCUUCCCAGAGCAGACACCAAACUGGACCUGACUCUGGGGUACCUGACUCUGGGGUACCUGACUCAGGCAGGUCCUCAGAGAAAAGUUAGGUUCAUAGGGGCAGCCAGGCAGCCAGCUGAGGGGAUAGGGGCUGACAGGGCAUGUUUUAAUGUAGAAACAAAUCUUCACAAGGACUACACAGUCAGGAAAACAUACUUCCUGUACUCCAAGGCAUCACUGGAAAUACAAGGACAGUGCCCCCUCAGUGGAUUUAAAGCACUAGAAGGUACUGUACGCAAGGACAUACAUAGCCUCACCCAGCCUUUUAGUCAGCAGGGACUAGAUCCACACGCCUUUCCCACUAAACCCCCGCCAGAGGCAUGCUCCAUCUCUGCCUAUGUCGUAGGUUAUGGUCAAUUAUUAAUCACAUAAAAGUUAGUUGGUGUUUCUUCAAAGAAGUAUGGCCAGAAUCAAAUUAUGUCAAUUAACUCCGUCAAAGCCAAAGUGGAUAUUUCUGGGUUCCGUUCCUAGAUUUACCAAUUCUGGCAGGGCUGGCUUGGCUCAAUUUGUUAGAUCUCUUUGAGUAUUGGUUUUCUUGCAUUGUAUGUAAAGUUGAAGCUAAGUGCUAGACAAGGGGAAAAGUCUCCAUCAAGAAAAAAACAAAAACAAACAACAACAAAAAAACCCCAUCAGAACAGAAAAACACACAAACUAUGUAGGAACAACAUGUCAUUCCAGUAUAUUAAGUUCUAAGUGGUAGUUGGGCAGUGGUGGUGCAUGCCUUUAAUCCCGGCACUCCCAAGCAUAGGCAAGUGCCUCUCAAAGUUCAAAACCAGCCUGGUCUAUGGAGCAAGUUCUAGGACAUCCAGGACUACACACAGGGGCCUUGUCUUGAAAAACAAAAAGACCUAAGUGUUAACUAAACUCUUUCUGGGUCAUGCUAUAAUUUAAUCCACCUGUAUACACACAGAAAUUCCACUGCAUUUUAAGAAAACACAACAAAUAAUCUUACCCUGCUGCAGUGGGGACAGUUCCCUGUGAUCCUACAUGAGCCACUGACAAGCAUUCCAGGAGUUAAUUCCUUAGCUCACUAAGCUAGGCAGAAAGGGAGGCCCAACACCAUCUGCCCAAUCCACCCUCUGCUAGAGGAGGACUGCGAGUACUGAGCUGGGCCAGGACUGCUGGAAGGCGCAGGUAGGAGUCUGCAGGUAGGAGUCUCUCUAGCAAUCUGUAGUAUCCCUCAACCCCCAAGGCCAAGAAGCACUGUCUUCUACAAUCUAAACUCUAACAAAAAGAGAGAUGGACAAGUUCAGGCCUCUAACCCUUCCAGUUUUUAAAUGUAAGUUUGCUAAUAUAAGCCCUGCAUCUUAGAAAGGGAGAGGGGUGGACUGUCAACCUGUAAGGGACAGUGAACAUCCUUAAGGGUCUAAGUGUGAGCAGCAAAGAGCCAAGCAGGAGCAAAUGGGCCUCACCUCCUCUAUGGUUGCCAGAGUCACCAUGGCUCUCUGAGCUACCGGCUACCUGAGUAGAGAGGGCUGGGGCUCAUCGACAUCUUGGCAUACAUCCCUCCAAAGAUCGUGUCAAAGGCCAAGUGAGAGCAUACAUUUUUUUGUGUGUUUGGAUGCAAGUGCACAUACACACACACACACACACAGAAACAUGACUUAAUAGUGCCCUAUUUGAAGGUAAUAUAGAAGAAAGGGCAGAACUUCAUAUCCAAACUAGAUCCUUUAGUGUAUCCUAACACAGAGGUAGAAGGAACAUGAAAACACUGGAUGGCCAAGACCUGUGAAGAAUUUCUUAUCUGUCAACACUGGCAACAUGGGAAAACAUUCAAACCAAGGCACACACUAAGUCCAGACAAUAUUCUCAGGAUUCCUUCCUGCUGGGGUCUGUAACAGUGAGCUCUACCCCUAUCUUCAUGUAUCCUUACAGAAUGCAAAAAUAUAAUUCAUUUCUAACCAAGCUAUUUUUAAGAAGGCAAAUUAAUAAAAAAUCUGAUAUCUGGUUUCUAUGGAGGUUUUAUAAAAAGGACAACUAUAAAUGUCACAAAAACUUCAAAGAGCUCGUAAGUAACACUCUCUCUCUCUCUCUCUCUCUCUCUCUGUGUGUGUGUGUGUGUGUGUGUGUAUGUGUGUGUGUAAAGAAAAGAUACUCCAAGAAGAAAUACCAAUAUGAACACUUCACUAGAAGCCUGAAGAUGAGAGAGAAGACUAUACUUAUUAUGACUAGAAACAUUUUUCUGCAAUCUAGUUGCAGAUGUAAUUGUCACCCUAGGUUUGGAAAAAUUCUCAGCAGCCUAUGAAAUCUGAAGAACCAGAUGAUGGUAUGAAUUUUCAGAAGUAUUAAAUGGUCAACCCUCACCAAUCUUUCAAUGGUUUUGGCUUCUCCAUCCAAAUUCCCCCUAUAAAGAGUCUGAAA